rnacentral:rRNA from 1 species
GACGAACGCUGGCGGCGUGCUUAACACAUGCAAGUCGAACGGAAAGGCCCUGCUCUUGUGGGGUGCUCGAGUGGCGAACGGGUGAGUAACACGCGAGUAACCUGCCCUUGACAUUGGGAUAACUUCAGGAAACUGGGGCUAAUAUCGGAUAGGAGCUCCUGCUGCAUGGUGGGGGAUGGAGAGUUUCGGCGGUUGGGGAUGGACUCGCGGCUUAUCAGCUGGUUGGUGGGGUAGUGGCUUACCAAGGCUUUGACGGGUAGCCGGCCUGAGAGGGUGACCGGCCACAUUGGGACUGAGAUACGGCCCAGACUCCUACGGGAGGCAGCGGUGGGGAAUAUUGCACAAUGGGCGGAAGCCUGAUGCAGCAACGCCGCGUGCGGGAUGACGGCCUUCGGGUUGUAAACCGCUUUCGCCUGUGACGAAGCGUGAGUGACGGUAAUGGGUAAAGAAGCACCGGCUAACUACGUG